CGAAAUUCUUUUUUUUUUUUUUGGAAAAGUAACAAAAUUCAAGUGUUUUCUCAAACCUUGCUGUCGCCUGGAAACUUAAACAGGUUUCACGCCAGGCCCGCCUCGAUUCUCAAUAGUAUUGAAAAGCAGUUCUGGUGCUCUGCGCAUUCACAGGAGGCUUUGAUUUUCAUUUCUCCACAAGCAGUCACUAAAUUCAGACUCAAAUUAUUUAGCAACAAUGGCUCGUGUCUAAAACAAAGUCAAUUUCGAGUUAUAGAUCGGGAGUUGGGGAACCAUCGCACGAGCCAUGGACACGAUUUGCGGCGGGGGUAUGUUUAAAUGUCAUUCAUUCGUAAGGACUUCAUUAUAUCCUAUCCUUAACGAUCAUCCGCUACAUCAUUUUAUACACGAUCUUCGAAUGUUCGCUACUUCGAACUAUUCUCACAAUUGUUCCAACUGAUUGGAAGUGGUUCUUUAGUCUGACGUGGAUUGGAGACACUCAAGAACUUUUCAUAAAAAAGGACUCUCUGCUGGAGGAUCUGGAAACCUGCUUAAGUGGGGCAAGGCGCAUCAAAAGCGUCUCUCUACGAACUCAAGCAGGUAACAGGCCUAGCGGUUCUGUAUAUAUAGUAUGCCAGAUAUUGCACAAUCUGGUUGCAACUCAAUCAUUCUUCAGCCAACCCCUUCAUCACAACUGAAGUCCGCUCUAAAGGACUUUAUUGAAUCAUUGUUAUUCUUUGAACAUGAUUAUCCGGGAGAAAUCAUUUUCUGCCAAUUCGUGGAGAAGAUUCAAAUGUUAUCUUCUUAAUUCAGCGGCAUGCAAUCAAAAUUGUUAGAGCUCUGCACACUUGAAGAAAUCGUAUUGCUAAUUUUCUCCAGCCGGAGACUCUUGGAGAAAGUCUGCAGUAGUUUCCAGAAAUCAUCCUAGGAGGAGCUGGGAUCCCAUUUAAGUGGAGCGAAGACGAAGAAACAAAGAGCAGCUUUAGCGGCUCAAACAAACCAAACAUACAACGGGCUUAGCAUUUUUUGGACAUAUGCAAGAUGUUGCACAACUCGCGUGCAACUCAAUAAAUCCCAUAUCCUCAGAUGCUUUACAUCUACUUGUACAAUGAUCUCGAUUCAAAAGUGUGUUUAAAUAUGUGUGUAAUAAAAUGGCUUACAAAUACUAUA